GGGGAGCGCAGCUACCUGCAGUCGAGCGGUAACAGAUCCAGCUUGCUGGAUGCUGACGAGCGGCGGACGGGUGAGUAAUGCAUAGGAAUUUACCCGGUAGUGGGGGAUAACCUGGGGAAACUCAGGCUAAUACCGCAUACGUCCUACGGGAGAAAGGGGGCUUCGGCUCCCGCUAUCGGAUGAGCCUAUGCCGGAUUAGCUGGUUGGUGAGGUAAUGGCUCACCAAGGCGACGAUCCGUAGCUGGUCUGAGAGGAUGAUCAGCCACAUCGGGACUGAGACACGGCCCGAACUCCUACGGGAGGCAGCAGUGGGGAAUAUUGGACAAUGGGGGCAACCCUGAUCCAGCCAUGCCGCGUGUGUGAAGAAGGCCCUCGGGUUGUAAAGCACUUUCAGCGAGGAAGAACGCCUGAUGGUUAAUACCCGUCAGGAAAGACAUCACUCGCAGAAGAAGCACCGGCUAACUCCGUGCCAGCAGCCGCGGUAAUACGGAGGGUGCAAGCGUUAAUCGGAAUUACUGGGCGUAAAGCGCGCGUAGGUGGCUUGAUAAGCCGGUUGUGAAAGCCCCGGGCUCAACCUGGGAACGGCAUCCGGAACUGUCAGGCUAGAGUGCAGGAGAGGAAGGUAGAAUUCCCGGUGUAGCGGUGAAAUGCGUAGAGAUCGGGAGGAAUACCAGUGGCGAAGGCGGCCUUCUGGACUGACACUGACACUGAGGUGCGAAAGCGUGGGUAGNCAACAGGAUUAGAUACCCUGGUAGUCCACGCCGUAAACGAUGUCGACCAGCCGUUGGGUGCCUAGCGCACUUUGUGGCGAAGUAACGCGAUAAGUCGACCGCCUGGGGAGUACGGCCG
rnacentral:rRNA from 1 species